CCAUCGUCUAAAUCGUAAGUGUUUGUAUUGAUUACUUUUGCAUAUUCUUUUAUCAUUCAAUCGUUUAUCUUCUGUAUAAAAACAUUAAAGUUACCACUGUCUUAUAUAUAAUUGCACGUCAGAAGCGGGUUUCGGUCAAUAUGCUGUAAACUCAUCAGUGACACUCGAAUCAAAACAUCUUUACAUGUUAACAAAUGUAUUACGAAGAUGUUCGUGUAUCAAUCAAAGAAAUUACAUCUAAUUAAUUAAAAUAACGUUAUAAUCAUAAUAAGGUUAAUUCCUCAGUGAAUAGUAUUGCAUAUGGUUUGUUUUAAAGAGACCUAUAAAAUUUAGUUAUGUCUUGCUAAAUAUGGAGUAUAUUUAGUUUAAUAACAAAGGGUGCGAUAUAGACCAAGUGAUCACAAAGCCGUUUCAUAUUGAAUACCUGACAGACAUAAGUGUUUGGUUUAACCAUUUUAACAUGUGUUUAAUAUAUAUAUUUUGGGCAACAGGUUAGGAUGAUAUUUAAUUGAUUGAUUGUUGAUGUUAAACGCGCCCGUAGAAAACCAUUGUUUAACUCACUCUGUUGCAAAGGACCCUACAAAAAUGGUAACGAAAGAUAUAAUACGCACAAGGAUAUAAUGAUAAGGGCACCAUGCAAUGGCUAAAAAUAUAAGGAGAUGUGAUAUGAGUGCUUAUGAGACAAAUCUCCAUCCAAGCCACAAUUUAUAAAAAUAAACCAUUAUAUGUCAAAUAACGGUCUUCAACACGGAGCCUUGGCUCACAGCGAACAGCAAACUAUAAAGGUCCUUUAUUAAUACAAGGUCUAUAACUAUGCAAACAGGAAAAUCAACGGUCUAAUCUAUAUAAAGAAAAACGAUAAAUGCGAACCACAAAAAUAGAUAAUUGCGUUCAGUUUACAGAGAAAUAAUAAUUAUAAUAUAGUUAAGACAGUCAUCAUUUUAUUAUUUAAUUUUAUUCACACAUUUAUAAUCAAUGGCACAUUAGCUGGAAAUAAGAUUAAAACCAAUUUUGUUUUGCGAAAUCUGAUGUACUUUACGAACGAUAACGAUUCCACAUUGUAUAUUACAAAAUAAAAUAGAAAACUAGCAUAGCAUAGGAGAAUAUGAGUUUAACUAUGUAAUAUCGAGUGCUUGAACAUAUAUUUCAUAGCAAGUUUCGCUGUCCAUUCAAAGUCGCAUAUUAUAGUAUUUAUAGGUUAAUAAAUAUGAUAUUCAGACUUAAAUGGGCAUUCAAAAAAUCAGAAUGUGAAUAUAUAUGUUCAAACUCUUUUAGGUCAUUUUUUAGUAGCAAUAAACAAAAACUAUGUUAAUUGGACAUGCUUUGAUACUAUAUAUGCCCUUGAAUUUUACUAGAAAAAAUUUUUGUUCGCUUUGGGGAUUCGUAUAUUCGUCAGAUUAUCGGAAUUCCAAUGGGGACUAACUGUGCACCACUUAUUGCGGACCUGUUUUUGAUUGUUAUGAGUUACAAUUUAUGACAAAAAAUAAGCCAAAGACCCAUCGAAAACAACAUCUGAUAAACAAAUUUAAUAAUACUUUUUAGAUAUUUGGAUGAUAUUUUGGCUCUCAAUAAUGACGACUUCAGUAUGUAUAUUAAUGAAAUUUAUCCUGUUGAACUUACUUUUAAUAAAGCUAAUACUAACAAUGACUCCCUUUUCUCGAUCUUGAUAUCUAUAUCACUAAUGGAAAGCUGAAUACUAAAAUUUAUGAUAAAAAGGAUGAUUUUUCAUUUCCUAUCGUUAAUUAUCCGUUUUUAGAUGGUGAGUUCCCUCACCAUCUUACGGUGUUUAUAUAUCAACUUGUACGAUUCGCUCGUGUAUGUAACAAUGUUUUAUAUUUUAACGAGAAAUUAUGUAUUACUGAAAAAUUAUUACACGGGUUUCGAUAUCACAAACUAGUCAAAAAUUUUACUAAAUUUUAUCACCGGUAUAAAGAUCAUUCGUAAAUAUACGCUCAACAUGCAGACUUCUAAUACGUUCAGGUAUUUCACAUCCAUUUUUUUUGGUAAUAUUCUUAUAAAGCACAAAGGUGUCAGUAUUCACCUCAGAAACUUACAAAACUUUGAAUAGACUUAUUAGAACGGAUAUAAUUACGAUACUGUUGUCAAGUAUUAAAGAUUGCAUAUUUUAGCGUUAAUAUUGAGUCACUGAUAAGGUCUUUGCUCGGAACUAAACACAUUAUUUUUUAAAAACAGUUGUUGGCAUGACACGGGUUAUGUUCUUCUCAUAUAUUUAUGAUGGUAUGAUAUAAACCCUAACGGGAAGGAUUGUGCCUGAUGUUCAAAUGAUGAAAUCAUAAUCUUUCAGUCAGUUUAAUUGAAGUCUGGAGCUGGCAUGUCAGUUAACUGCUGGUAGUCUGUUGUUAUUUAUUUAUUAUUGUCAUUUUGUUUAUUUUCUUUGGUUAAUCUUCUGACAUCAGACUCGGAUUUCUCUUGAACUGAAUUUUAAUGUCGUAUUGUUAUGCGUUUACUUAUACAUUGGUUAGAGGUAUAGGGGGGGUUUGAGAUCUCACAAACAUGUUUAACCCCGCCGCUUUAAUGCGCCUGUCCCAAGUAGGAGCCUCUGGCCUUGUUGUCUUUUUAUUUCUAAUUUUAGUUCUUGUGUACAAUUUGGAAAUUAGUUGGCGUUCAUAUCACUGGACUAUAUAUAUUUGUUUGGGCCAGUGAAGGACGCCUCGGGUGCAGGAAUUUCUCGCACAUUGAAGACUGUUGUGACCCUCUGGGUUGUUUUUUAUUUGGUCGGGUGUUGUCUCUUGACACAUCCAUUUCCAUCUCAAUUUUCAUUAUUUUUAUCUACUUUGAUUACAAUAUGUAUGUAGUUCCCACGUCCCAUUGGCGUGAUCAUAUUGUUCAGUGUAUUUGAUUUCCUUUUUUAAGAUUACAGUGAUCAUAUUCACCUUUUUUACUAGUUUUAAUGGAUUUCUAACGAUUUAAUUUAUACAUAAAUCGUCAAAAUAAAAUAAUCUAUUAAACUAAUAGUUUCCUUUUUAUUAAAUUUUAUAUAGAAAAAGUUGUAUGACUUAUCUGCAUAUGUUUCAGAACCAAUAAAACCUAUGAAUCACUUGGAACAAAAGACGCUGUUGAGAUGUAUGAUGAUUUAGAUAAUCACAAAGGUGUGUAAUAUUUAUAUGUAAAAUACAUUAAGCGUGUAUCUGCUUAGCAAAUCACUAUAGAAGAAUGUAAGUUUCGUAUACCUUCAGUGAGUUGUAGAAAACGAAACAUUGCGGUAAAACAAACAAUAACACUAACAAAUAUCAAACGAUAAACAUUUAAAGAAAAAAGGAAUAUUGGCUUUGAAGUGAAUAAAUUAUUGUUGUUUUCUUCAACGAUGUGUAAAAACCGUACACAUAUAUUAUCCAGUGAAUCUUACAAAUUCUUCAGAAUAAUAUAUAUAGAUAUAGGAAGAUGUGGUGUGAGUGCCAAUGAGACAACUCUCCAUCCAAAUAGCAAUUUAUAAAAGUAAACCUUUAUAGGUCAAUGUACGGCCUUCAACAUGGAUAGAUAGAUACCAAAUAGAUAUGAAAUAUCUUGAUAUAUGAGAGUAACAUGUAUGCAUAAUUUUUGCUGUUAUUCAUCUAACUAAUUCUUCAAACUUGAACGUAAUUUGAGACACUUUACAUUCAACAUCAAACUGUCCUAUGGUUAUUGUAUCUCUAUAUUAACUGCAUUAUAAACCUGUUUACCACAAAUCAUAAUUAUAUUUGCAUGACAUAUUGCAUGGUAGAAAAGUUUUAAAUAUAAAAAUUUGCUAUUUGUAAAUCUUGUAGGCCUGCCAUCGUCUAAACCGUAAGUAUUUAUAUGGAUGACUAAUGCGUACAUGUAAUUGUGUAUCCUUAAAAUGGUCAUUUUCUGUUUAAGUACAGUCGCACAAAUAAAACUAGGAUAUAUUUGGGUACAAUUUAAUCAUGUUUCCUUAUAUGAUUUUUUUAAUUAGCGAACAAUAGCAUUACAUUAUUGUUAAUGUUGAGGUUCUUAUUGUUGAUCUCGUGUGAAACUGAACAUCGACAGAGGUUAAAAGAUGCCUUACAACAAACAAAUUCGACAUAUACAUACCUUGCCCUAAAAAGUUAGUUUGAUCAUUAGUGUAAGAUAAACUCCUGCAAGUACAGCGUCACUGAAAAUUUGAUAUUCAAAGGUUAUACUACAACAAAAAAAAGCGAUGCAGAUCUAGUAGUUGUACCGUGUUUGAUACCGUACAACUUGCACAUGAUGGUGGUUUUUUUUUACAUAAACUAUGUGUUAAGUCACAACCACGGAUGCAUGUUUUUAAAAGCUUUAAAGUUCGUAGGUUAAGAGGAUAUGAAUAGAAAAAAAACUCUUUUAUUGUAUAAUAUUAAAGGAAGUUUUCUGUUGAUAUAAAAUUGAAAAUAGAAAUGGUGAAUGUGUCAAAUAGACAACAACACGACCAAAGAGCGGACAACAGACGAAGGCCAACAAUGGGUCUUCAACACAGCAAGAAACUUACGCACCCGGAGGCGUGCUUAAACUGGUCCCUCAACAAAAAUGUAUAUUAGUUCAGAGAUAAUGAGCGUCAAACUUAACUCUGAAAUAUACACAAGAAACUGCAUUUAAAACCAUACAAGACUUACACAGACCAGAUAAUCCUGACUUGGGACAGGCUCAAAAAUGCGGCGGGUUUGAACCUGAUUUCUGAGAUCUCAACCCUCACUUUAGUCAAUGUAGAAAAAUCAAACCAACAACACUACGCGUAACAGUAAAACUCUAAACAAAAUGACCAUGAUAAAUAAAUUAACAAAUGACUUCUAGCAGUUUUUGCAAUGCCAGCUCCAGACCUCAGUUAAACUGAGUUAACGAUAAUGUAUUCAGUAUAUGAAUAUCAAGUACAAUCAAUCCCGUUAGGGGUCUAGUAUUAUACCAUCAUAAAAUAAAUGAGAAGAACAUAACCUGUAUCAUGUCAAUAACUGGUUUUAGAAUGAAUGUGUUUAUGUCCGAUGCAAAAACGUUAACCAUAUACGCGAAUGAAUAUUUAAGCCAAAAUAUGCCAUCUUUAAUGACCUGACAACAGUAUCGUAACUAUAUUCCUUCUCAAUAAUAGUUAUCAAAGGUACCAGGAUUAUAAUUUAGUACGCCAAUAAGGUCUGAUUAAAGGUUUUGUUAGCUUUUGAGGUGAAUGCCUUCAAAAAUAUAAAUGUAUUAUGAAGCACUUUAAUCUUCUGAGAUCAAUUUCUGUGCACAAAACCAAUGAAACCAACUAUAUACACCCAUUUCAAAUCAUUCAAUACGAACUGUCUAAUUGAACAUAAAAGCAAAAAGAACUAUUACAUACUAUAUUGCAGUUAUAUUAUGUGUUUUAGUUCAGUGGAUCAUUAUGAAGCAUUGGGUACCAACGAUAAACCAAAUGUGUAUGAGGAAUUAGAAAAUCAGAAAGGUAGUCUUAUGAAUCAAAAGCAGAUAAUGUUUUCUUAUUUGUCCAUAGAUUUACGAGUUUUGAACAGCGGUAUACUACUGUGGCCUUUAUUGAAAAUUUCAAAGCAGUUUCCUUUUAACUAUCAAGAUUAUACAGUCAUGUAUCGUGUUACUAACUAAAACUUCUGAUAUUUAUAUUGAUAACUUAAAAACAUGUCUAAUGUUAAUACAACGCAAGAUCGUACAAGGAUAGUCUUGUGGUUGAAUUAUAUAUAAAUGAAAUGCACCCAUUUACUGAAAUACGUUGUAUUUCUGUAAUGAAAAGUUUGUAAUGGGAACUUAAACUUAAAGAAAGGCAUAGUGUAAUUAAACUUUGAAUUAUUAAAACUAUCUUAGCAUGCAUAUGUUUUAUGAAGAAAUCCAAAGACAUUCAAUAACAAAUUUGGUACAGUAAGAAUAAUGUUCUGUCACAUAGUCUUAAAUUCCAAACAUUAUUACUUACAAUGAACCACAGUCAAUUUCCGUUUUUCUGUUUAUAAUAUAUACAUGUAGUCAAAGCCACAUAUGUGCAGUUAAAUUUCAAGUUAGUUUAUAUUCAAAGUGCCAUAGUUCCUUUUAUUAAAGGUACCUUUGUUGCAACUUUUAACGUGGGCCACAUGAGCAUUUUUUACUACAUUUAGCACCAAUGCUCAUAUACUCUGAUAUACACUCGUCUUGCAGUCUAAAUUUAAGUACAUCACAGAAUUUACCUGCAUUGAUUUUUGAUUUUUUUUGUAAAACACAUGCUUGUUUUCCAUCUUCAAUCAAUUGGAAACUGCUGAAUUGUUUAAAAAUUCUUCGUCAUAUGAGAACAGAUCGGUGAAAUGUGCCUUAUCAAAUUUAUACAGAACAAAUAUAAACUUACUAUGACUUUCUUAAAUUUGAAAAUUAAUUAGGAAUAAACAUGUAAGUACGUACAUGAAACAAAAUGAUGUUUUUUAAUUGCAAUUUUUAACACAACAUAUUAGCAAUUCCAAAUUGAACAUCUCCACACCAGCGACGUGGUACAGUGUAGCAGUAUUUAUUUUUAGACGUUAAAGUCUUCAAUAAUAAUGAAAAAACAUUAAAGAAAUUAAUGUACGCAGUUACAUUGAGUUAUUUGAUAUCUUUCAGGACAAGCAGAAAAGGUGUAUGUCAAUGAAGCAUUCUGAGCUAAAUUCGAGAACAAGAUUUUGUGAUAGAAACUGUGCAACUCAAUGAGAAAAAUAAAUAUUUGUUUGGUGCUUAUUGUUCGAUGAUGUGGACUGCUGAACUUUGCAAUGUCUGUGUCCUGCAUACUUAUCAUCUGAUGCUUUAUACUAUUAAUGCUUGGUAUUAUUUACAAUUGUGAUUAGCGUGUUAAUCAGAAAGGCAAACUCGAAAUGGGAACAGUGAAAUAUUAACUCUUUACACUGUCAUGCAAUUACCACUUGAUUUUUUGAAAGACAUAUAUCUAGUCAUAUUCAUAUACAUAAAUGUAACAUUUG
rnacentral:lncRNA from 1 species